CAGCAGCAGCCGCGGUAAUACCGAGGGUGCGAGCGUUAAUCGGAUUUACUGGGCGUAAAGCGUGCGUAGGCGGCUUUUUAAGUCGGAUGUGAAAUCCCUGAGCUUAACUUAGGAAUUGCAUUCGAUACUGGGAAGCUAGAGUAUGGGAGAGGAUGGUAGAAUUCCAGGUGUAGCGGUGAAAUGCGUAGAGAUCUGGAGGAAUACCGAUGGCGAAGGCAGCCAUCUGGCCUAAUACUGACGCUGAGGUACGAAAGCAUGGGGAGCAAACAGGAUUAGAUACCCCCGUAGUCCCUGUCUCUUAUAC
rnacentral:rRNA from 1 species